rnacentral:rRNA from 1 species
GACGAACGCUGGCGGCGUGCUUAACACAUGCAAGUCGAACGGAAAGGCCCUGCUUUUGUGGGGUGCUCGAGUGGCGAACGGGUGAGUAACACGUGAGUAACCUGCCCUUGACUUUGGGAUAACUUCAGGAAACCUGGGCUUAUACCGGAUAGGAGCUCCCGCUGCAUGGUGGGGGUUGGGAAGUUUCGGCGGUUGGGGAUGGACUCGCGGCUUAUCAGCUUGUUGGUGGGGUAGUGGCUUACCAAGGCUUUGACGGGUAGCCGGCCUGAGAGGGUGACCGGCCACAUUGGGACUGAGAUACGGCCCAGACUCCUACGGGAGGCAGCAGUGGGGAAUAUUGCACAAUGGGCGGAAGCCUGAUGCAGCAACGCCGCGUGCGGGAUGACGGCCUUCGGGUUGUAAACCGCUUUCGCCUGUGACGAAGCGUGAGUGACGGUAAUGGGUAAAGAAGCACCGGCUAACUACGUG